rnacentral:tRNA from 1 species
AUUUAAGUAGUUCAAUAAGAAUAUUGUAGUGAAGUUACAAAGGUGCUUUUUCUUAAAUA